AACGAACGCUGGCGGCAGGCCUAACACAUGCAAGUCGAGCGCUGUAGCAAUACAGAGCGGCAGACGGGUGAGUAACGCGUGGGAAUCUCCCCAAUGGUACGGAAUAGCUCAGGGAAACUUGAGGUAAUACCGUAUAAGUCCGCAAGGAGAAAGAUUUAUCGCCAUUGGAUGAGCCCGCGUUGGAUUAGCUAGUUGGUGAGGUAACGGCUCACCAAGGCAACGAUCCAUAGCUGGUCUGAGAGGAUGAUCAGCCACACUGGGACUGAGACACGGCCCAGACUCCUACGGGAGGCAGCAGUAGGGAAUCUUCCGCAAUGGACGAAAGUCUGACGGAGCAACGCCGCGUGAGUGAUGAAGGCUUUCGGGUCGUAAAACUCUGUUGUUAGGGAAGAACAAGUGCUAGUUGAAUAAGCUGGCACCUUGACGGUACCUAACCAGAAAGCCACGGCUAACUACGUGCCAGCAGCCGCGGUAA
rnacentral:rRNA from 1 species